GGAGAUUUGGCUCAGUGAUACAGCACUUGCCUAGCAUAUGCAAGAGCCUGGGUUCCAUCUCCAGAACCACAA
rnacentral:tRNA from 1 species